rnacentral:rRNA from 1 species
UAGGGAAUCUUCCGCAAUGGGCGAAAGCCUGACGGAGCAACGCCGCGUGAGUGAUGAAGGUCCUCGGAUCGUAAAACUCUGUUAUUAGGGAAGAACAAAUGUGUAAGUAACUAUGCACGUCUUGACGGUACCUAAUCAGAAAGCCACGGCUAACUACGUGCCAGCAGCCGCGGUAAUACGUAGGUGGCAAGCGUUAUCCGGAAUUAUUGGGCGUAAAGCGCGCGUAGGCGGUUUUUUAAGUCUGAUGUGAAAGCCCACGGCUCAACCGUUGAGGGUCAUUGGAAACUGGAAAACUUGAGUGCAGAAGAGGAAAGUGGAAUUCCAUGUGUAGCGGUGAAAUGCGCAGAGAUAUGGAGGAACACCAGUGGCGAAGGCGACUUUCUGGUCUGUAACUGACGCUGAUGUGCGAAAGCGUGGGGAUCAAACAGG